rnacentral:rRNA from 1 species
CCUACGGGUGGCAGCAGUGAGGAAUAUUGGUCAAUGGGCGAAAGUCUGAACCAGCCAUGCCGCGUGCAGGAAGACUGCUCUACGGGUUGUACACUUCUUUUAUACAGGAAUAAAGUUAAAUACGUGUACUACUUUGAGAGUACUUUACGAAUAAGGAUCGGCUAACUCCGGGCCAGCAGCCGCGGUAAUACGGAGGAUCCAAGCGUUAUCCGGAUUUAUUGGGUGUAAAGGGAGCGUAGAUGGAUUGUUAAGUCAGUGGUGAAAGUUUGGGGCUCAACCCCAGAACUGCAAUUGAUACUGGCAAUCUUGAGUGCAGAUGAGGUAGGCGGAAUUCGUGGUGUAGCGGUGAAAUGCUUAGAUAUCACGAAGAACACCGAUUGCGAAGGCAGCUUACUAAACUGCCACUGACGUUGAGGCUCGAAAGUGUGGGGAGCAAACAGGAUUAGAUACCCCUGUAGUC